rnacentral:rRNA from 1 species
CAGCGGCUUCGGCUGUUGAGUGCCCGCCAGAGGACCACAACUCUUGUUUUUAGUGAUGUCUGAGUACUAUAUAAUAGUUAAAACUUUCAACAACGGAUCUCUUGGUUCUGGCAUCGAUGAAGAACGCAGCGAAAUGCGAUAAGUAAUGUGAAUUGCAGAAUUCAGUGAAUCAUCG